rnacentral:rRNA from 1 species
GAUGAACGCUGGCGGCGUGCCUAAUACAUGCAAGUCGAGCGAACAGACGAGGAGCUUGCUCCUCUGACGUUAGCGGCGGACGGGUGAGUAACACGUGGAUAACCUACCUAUAAGACUGGGAUAACUUCGGGAAACCGGAGCUAAUACCGGAUAAUAUAUUGAACCGCAUGGUUCAAUAGUGAAAGACGGUUUUGCUGUCACUUAUAGAUGGAUCCGCGCCGCAUUAGCUAGUUGGUAAGGUAACGGCUUACCAAGGCGACGAUGCGUAGCCGACCUGAGAGGGUGAUCGGCCACACUGGAACUGAGACACGGUCCAGACUCCUACGGGAGGCAGCGGUAGGGAAUCGUCCGCAAUGGGCGAAAGCCUGACGGAGCAACGCCGCGUGAGUGAUGAAGGUCUUCGGAUCGUAAAACUCUGUUAUUAGGGAAGAACAAAUGUGUAAGUAACUAUGCACGUCUUGACGGUACCUAAUCAGAAAGCCACGGCUAACUACGUG